GAUGAACGCUGGCGGCGUGCCUAAUACAUGCAAGUCGAGCGAACAGACGAGGAGCUUGCUCCUUCGACGUUAGCGGCGGACGGGUGAGUAACACGUAGGUAACCUACCUAUAAGACUGGGAUAACUUCGGGAAACCGGAGCUAAUACCGGAUAAUAUUUCGAACCGCAUGGUUCGAUAGUGAAAGAUGGCUUUGCUAUCACUUAUAGAUGGACCUGCGCCGUAUUAGCUAGUUGGUAAGGUAACGGCUUACCAAGGCAACGAUACGUAGCCGACCUGAGAGCGUGAUCGGCCACACUGGAACUGAGACACGGUCCAGACUCCUACGGGAGGCAGCAGUAGGGAAUCUUCCGCAAUGGGCGAAAGCCUGACGGAGCAACGCCGCGUGAGUGAUGAAGGUCUUCGGAUCGUAAAACUCUGUUAUUAGGGAAGAACAAACGUGUAAGUAACUGUGCACGUCUUGACGGUACCUAAUCAGAAAGCCACGGCUAACUACGUG
rnacentral:rRNA from 1 species